UUACUAAAGUUCGUAGACGUAGACGUAAACGUAGGAUUUACGUCUGACUUAAGAUUAGAGUUACGUUCUCGUGAAAUGGUAUUUACAAAACCGUUCGUAGCCGCAAACGUAACUUACGAUGUACGAUUGCACGUACGCGUGCGCAGUGGCUAUUUUCACUUCGAAGCGUAAAAAGUGUGAAUUUGCUCAUUUACUUUGACUUCCCUGCGCUACCGCCGCAUUAUGACGAAAAAGAACACAGAACUUUGUGAGAAAGCAACGAAUUUCAACGUAUACGUAUGCCUGCCAACGGCAUGUCGAUCAACUGUACCGUUAUUCAGUGUUGUUUACAAAUCCAAAUGGAAGGUUCAUCAAAUUUAACGCAUUUGACUUGUGCAUGGAUCUGCGAUGCUGUAGGUCUUCAAAAAGAAGUCGGCAUGGACUGACAAGUAAGUUAAGUUGUUUGUGUAGUAAUAACCUUAAAUGUUUUACCACUGACUACUCGUCACUAGGCCCCUAAAUAAUGUUAAAUUGACUUCAAGGGGAUUCAGUACAUGACACACAUGGUAAAACCACAGUCCCUUAUUCAUUUUGUUCUCAACCUAUGUAGCUGCUAUAAUGCCUGGAUCUUAAUUUCUAAAUAGUGAGCACAUAUACAUAUGUGUAAGUUAUUUACAAUUUGAUAUGUGCCCACUAUUAACACAUUAAGACACAAGCUCAUUUGUGUACAUGGUAACUUCAAACUUUUGACAAUACCACAAUUGAAAUUCAAAAUUAUUUAUCCCAUUUUUUUAAUUUCAUGACUGGAACAACAUCAAAGCAGUAUCAUAGCUACCUGUACACAAGUAUGCACAUGCUUUCACAUCAUUUCGCAAAAAGAAAAACAAGAAUAUUGGUGAAAAAUGAAUCUAAAAUAUACAUUAUAUAUACAGGCACUUAUUCUAAAAUGUGUGAUUUGUACGUGCCCCUCUAUUGCAUGGUUAUAAAAUAUGAAAAUUAUUAUUGCUUUAACAAUAUAUACUCUGGGCGAACAGGUAGAGAGGGUGAAUGGACUCGGUACCAGAUGAGGACAGUUACAGUCUCUUUUAGCAUCAUUUCAAUUAUUGCUUGUCCACAUCCAUGUGCAAAACUUUCAGAAAAUAUUGUGAAACAAAAUCGCAUUCAAAUACAGUUGUACAACUGUGUGAAGUCAGUGUUAAUUUAUUUAAUGUAGAAUAACAUUGACUAUAUAUUAAUUGGAGAUAUUAGGUGUGAUAUAAUGCACUAGAUAUCCAAGUUAGCUGACCUCUGUUAUUUUUCAAAGGGUCAUAAAGGUGGUCAAGAAAUAAAUUGCCAAAAGACAGCAGCAUUCCUUGAUUUAGAUACAUUUCUCUUCAUGUCCUCUCCUGAAAGAUUUUCCAUGAUGCUUCAGGGUUAGGACUGGGAUGCAAGAUGUACAGUACAUAUAUAUGAUGUCUAUGGGUACAUUGCUGUAAUGGCCUGAAAAAUCUUUUGCGAAACCGAGAAAUGUUCAUCUUCCAUUGCCAUGAUUGUGUAAAAGGACGAGCAGAGGAAUGAUUCAAAAAUAUAUGGCAGGAUUGAGAAUCUAACCCAUGACCCGUAGUCUGGUACUCUACCCACUGAUCAAUCCAUGCUGAUGGUCCAUCUGCUACAUUGAUGUCAUCUUAUAUAUUUAUUUAUUCAUUUAUAUAUCAUAUGGGCAUUUAAAAAUUGGCAGUAAAAUAAAAAAAAGUUUGAUAUUCAGCAAAAUAGAAUUUGUUACAAUACAUGUUUAAGAAAUUAAGUACAUGUACAUGCAUUGUUAUGCACACAAUUAUGUACAUGUAAUUAUAUUUGUUAAUAGAUAAAUUCUUAGAUGAAUUUUCAUGUUGUUAUUGAUAUUGACAUGUACAUGUAUUACUUCCAUUUCUAGAAUGAUUUUAACAUCUUGAUAUUAAAAUGAUGACAUAAUAAAUAAAUCUUAAAUAUU